rnacentral:tRNA from 1 species
GAAGUAUGGCCAAGUAAAAGCUGCUAACUUAUUACUUUAACGGCUAAAUCCCGUUUAUACUUCU